CCUCUCAUGGCGUAGUGGGAACGCGCCCCAACUAGAGAUCGGGGAGUCGUGAGUUCGAUUCUCACUGAGAAGA
rnacentral:tRNA from 1 species